rnacentral:rRNA from 1 species
UACGGAGGGUGCAAGCGUUAUCCGGAUUCACUGGGUUUAAAGGGUGCGUAGGUGGGCAGUUAAGUCAGUGGUGAAAUCUCCGGGCUUAACCCGGAAACUGCCAUUGAUACUAUUUAUCUUGAAUACUUUGGAGGUAAGCGGAAUAUGUCAUGUAGCGGUGAAAUGCUUAGAUAUGACAUAGAACACCAAUUGCGAAGGCAGCUUACUACACAGUUAUUGACACUGAGGCACGAAAGCGUGGGGAUCAAACAGG